GCAGACACAUUCCAGCCAAUCAGCAGCAGACGCUCCCUCCCAGACCCUCCCACCUCCUGGACAGCAUCCAUUUUACAUUCAUUGUGAAGCUGCAUUCUUAGUGAGCUGUCUAGGAGGUGGGAGGGUCUGGGAGGGAGGGUCUGCUGCUGAUUGGCUGGAAUGUGUCUG
rnacentral:miRNA from 1 species